rnacentral:rRNA from 1 species
AUUGAACGCUGGCGGCAGGCCUAACACAUGCAAGUCGAGCGAGCGGCGGACGGGUGAGUAAUGUAUGGGGAACUGCCAGCUAGAGGGGGAUAACUAAUGGAAACGGUGGCUAAUACCGCAUACUAUCGGAUGAACCCAUUUGGGAUUAGCUAGUAGGUGGGGUAAAGGCGCACCUAGGCGACGAUCCCUAGCUGGUCUGAGAGGAUGAUCAGGCACACUGGGACUGUGACCAGGCCCAGACGCCUACGGGAGGCAGCAGGGGGGAAUAGUGGUAAAUGGGCGCAAGUCUUAUGCAGCCAUGCCGCGUGUGUGAAGAAGGCCUGCGGGGUGUAAAGCACUUUCAGCGAUGAGGCGUUACUCGCAGAAGAAGCACCGGCUAACUCCGUGCCAGCAGCCGCGGUAAUUC